rnacentral:misc_RNA from 1 species
GAUGAAGAACGUAGCGAAAUGCGAUAAGUAGUGUGAAUUGCAGAAUUCAGUGAAUCAUCGAAUCUUUGAACGCACAUUGCGCCCUUUGGUAUUCCAAAGGGCAUGCCUGUUCGAGCGUCAUUUGUACCCUCAAGCUUUGCUUGGUGUUGGGCGUCUUGUCUGUAGCUUUGCUGGAGACUCGCCUUAAAGUAAUUGGCAGCCGGCCUACUGGUUUCGGAGCGCAGCACAAGUCGCACUCUCUAUCAGCAAAGGUCUAGCAUCCAUUAAGCCUUUUUUUCAACUUUUGACCUCGGAUCAGGUAGGGAUACCCGCUGAACUUAAGCAUAUCAAUAAGCGGAGGA